UGGGGAAUUUUGGACAAUGGGCGCAAGCCUGAUCCAGCAAUGCCGCGUGCAGGAUGAGGGCCUUCGGGUUGUAAACUGCUUUUGUACGGAACGAAAAAGCUCUCUCUAAUACAGGGGGUGAAUGACGGUACCGUAAGAAUAAGCACCGGCUAACUACGUGCCAGCAGCCGCGGUAAUACGUAGGGUGCAAGCGUUAAUCGGAAUUACUGGGCGUAAAGCGUGCGCAGGCGGUUUUGUAAGACAGAGGUGAAAUCCCCGGGCUCAACCUGGGAACUGCCUUUGUGACUGCAAAGCUGGAGUGCGGCAGAGGGGGAUGGAAUUCCGCGUGUAGCAGUGAAAUGCGUAGAUAUGCGGAGGAACACCGAUGGCGAAGGCAAUCCCCUGGGCCUGCACUGACGCUCAUGCACGAAAGCGUGGGGAGCAAACA
rnacentral:rRNA from 1 species